rnacentral:rRNA from 1 species
GACGGACGCUGGCGGCGUGCUUAACACAUGCAAGUCGAACGAAGAGCGAUGGAAGCUUGCUUCUAUCAAUCUUAGUGGCGAACGGGUGAGUAACGCGUAAUCAACCUGCCCUUCAGAGGGGGACAACAGUUGGAAACGACUGCUAAUACCGCAUACGAUCUAAUCUCGGCAUCGAGGAUAGAUGAAAGGUGGCCUCUACAUGUAAGCUAUCACUGAAGGAGGGGAUUGCGUCUGAUUAGCUAGUUGGAGGGGUAACGGCCCACCAAGGCGAUGAUCAGUAGCCGGUCUGAGAGGAUGAACGGCCACAUUGGGACUGAGACACGGCCCAGACUCCUACGGGAGGCAGCAGUGGGGAAUCUUCCGCAAUGGACGAAAGUCUGACGGAGCAACGCCGCGUGAGCGAUGACGGCCUUCGGGUUGUAAAGCUCUGUUAAUCGGGACGAAAGGCCUUCUUGCGAAUAGUGAGAAGGAUUGACGGUACCGGAAUAGAAAGCCACGGCUAACUACGUG